UACGAAGGGUGCAAGCGUUAAUCGGAAUUACUGGGCGUAAAGCGCGCGUAGGUGGUUUGUUAAGUUGGAUGUGAAAGCCCCGGGCUCAACCUGGGAACUGCAUCCAAAACUGGCAAGCUAGAGUACGGUAGAGGGUGGUGGAAUUUCCUGUGUAGCGGUGAAAUGCGUAGAUAUAGGAAGGAACACCAGCGGCGAAGGCGACCACCUGGACUGAUACUGACACUGAGGUGCGAAAGCGUGGGGAGCAAACAGG
rnacentral:rRNA from 1 species